rnacentral:rRNA from 1 species
GAUGAACGCUGGCGGCGUGCCUAAUACAUGCAAGUCGAGCGAACAGACGAGGAGCUUGCUCCUUUGGCGUUAGCGGCGGACGGGUGAGUAACACGUGGGUAACCUACCUAUAAGACUGGGAUAACUUCGGGAAACCGGGGCUAAUACCGGAUAAUAUUUCGAACCGCAUGGUUCGAUAGUGAAAGAUGGCUUUGCUAUCACUUAUAGAUGGACCUGCGCCGUAUUAGCUAGUUGGUAAGGUAACGGCUUACCAAGGCAACGAUACGUAGCCGACCUGAGAGGGUGAUCGGCCACACUGGAACUGAGACACGGUCCAAACUCCUACGGGAGGCAGCAGUAGGGAAUCUUCCGCAAUGGGCGAAAGCCUGACGGAGCAACGCCGCGUGAGUGAUGAAGGUCUUCGGAUCGUAAAACUCUGUUAUUAGGGAAGAACAAACGUGUAAGUAACUGUGCACGUCUUGACGGUACCUAAUCAGAAAGCCACGGCUAACUACGUGCCAGCAGCCGCGGUAAUACGUAGGUGGCAAGCGUUAUCCGGAAUUAUUGGGCGUAAAGCGCGCGUAGGCGGUUUUUUAAGUCUGAUGUGAAAGCCCACGGCUCAACCGUGGAGGGUCAUUGGAAACUGGAAAACUUGAGUGCAGAAGAGGAAAGUGGAAUUCCAUGUGUAGCGGUGAAAUGCGCAGAGAUAUGGAGGAACACCAGUGGCGAAGGCGACUUUCUGGUCUGUAACUGACGCUGAUGUGCGAAAGCGUGGGGAUCAAACAGGAUUAGAUACCUUGGUAGUCCACGCCGUAAACGAUGAGUGCUAAGUGUUAGGGGGUUUCCGCCCCUUAGUGCUGCAGCUAACGCAUUAAGCACUCCGCCUGGGGAGUACGACCGCAAGGUUGGAACUCAAAGGAAUUGACGGGGACCCGCACAAGCGGUGGAGCAUGUGGUUUAAUUCGAAGCAACGCGAAGAACCUUACCAAAUCUUGACAUCCUUUGACCCUUCUAGAGAUAGAAGUUUCCCCUUCGGGGGACAAAGUGACAGGUGGUGCAUGGUUGUCGUCAGCUCGUGUCGUGAGAUGUUGGGUUAAGUCCCGCAACGAGCGCAACCCUUAAGCUUAGUUGCCAUCAUUAAGUUGGGCACCCUAAGUUGACUGCCGGUGACAAACCGGAGGAAGGUGGGGAUGACGUCAAAUCAUCAUGCCCCUUAUGAUUUGGGCUACACACGUGCUACAAUGGACAAUACAAAGGGCAGCGAAACCGCGAGGUCAAGCAAAUCCCAUAAAGUUGUUCUCAGUUCGGAUUGUAGUCUGCAACUCGACUACAUGAAGCUGGAAUCGCUAGUAAUCGUAGAUCAGCAUGCUACGGUGAAUACGUUCCCGGGUCU